rnacentral:rRNA from 1 species
GAUGAACGCUGGCGGCGUGCUUAACACAUGCAAGUCGAACGAUAAGGCCCUGCUUGCUGGGUACUUGAGUGGCGAACGGGUGAGUAACACGUGAGUAACCUGCCCUUUACUCUGGGAUAAGCCUGGGAAACUGGGUCUAAUACCGGAUAGGAGCGCCUACCGCAUGGGGGGGGUUGGAGCGUUUUAGGGAUUGUGGGUGGACUCGGGCCCUAUGAGCGUGUGGGUGGGGUUGUGGUACACAAAGGCGACGGGGGGUAGCGGGCCUGAGAGUGUGAGGGGCCACACGGGGACUGAGACACGGCCCAGACUCCUACGGGAGGCAGCAGUGGGGAAUUGUGCACAAUGGGCGAAAGCCUUAUGCAGCGACGCCGCGUGAGGGAUGACGGCCUUCGGGUUGUAAACCUUUUGCAGCAGGGAAGAAGCGAAAGUGACGGUACCUUCAGAAGAAGCACCGGCUAACUACGUG